rnacentral:rRNA from 1 species
CCUACGGGAGGCAGCAGUGGGGAAUUUUCCGCAAUGGGCGAAAGCCUGACGGAGCAACGCCGCGUGAGGGACGAAGGCCUCUGGGCUGUAAACCUCUUUUCUCAAGGAAGAAGAACUGACGGUACUUGAGGAAUAAGCCACGGCUAAUUCCGUGCCAGCAGCCGCGGUAAUACGGGAGUGGCAAGCGUUAUCCGGAAUUAUUGGGCGUAAAGCGUCCGCAGGCGGCCUCGUAAGUCUGUCGUUAAAGCGUGGAGCUUAACUCCAUUUCAGCGAUGGAAACUGUGAGGCUUGAGUGUGGUAGGGGCAGAGGGAAUUCCCGGUGUAGCGGUGAAAUGCGUAGAUAUCGGGAAGAACACCAGUGGCGAGGGCGCUCUGCUGGGCCAUAACUGACGCUCAUGGACGAAAGCCAGGGGAGCGAAAGGGAUUAGAUACCCCUGUAGUCCUGGCCGUAAACGAUGAACACUAGGUGUCGGGGGAAUCGACCCCCUCGGUGUCGUAGCCAACGCGUUAAGUGUUCCGCCUGGGGAGUACGCACGCAAGUGUGAAACUCAAAGGAAUUGACGG